rnacentral:rRNA from 1 species
UACGUAGGGUGCGAGCGUUAAUCGGAAUUACUGGGCGUAAAGUGUGCGCAGGUGGCUCUGCAAGUCGAGUGUGAAAUCCCCGGGCUUAACUUGGGAACGGCGCUCGAAACUACGGAGCUAGAGUGUGGCAGAGGGAGGUGGAAUUCCACGUGUAGCGGUGAAAUGCGUAGAGAUGUGGAGGAACACCAAUGGCGAAGGCAGCCUCCUGGGCCAACACUGACACUCAUGCACGAAAGCGUGGGGAGCAAACAGG